GGUAUUGAAAUAAGGUUUUAAUUGAAUGCUAAAAGAAUGGAAUAUCAAAGAAUAACUUUCUUAAAAUUAAAAAUUGAAAUUUUUUUAAUUUGUGUAAAAACAAUUAUAUAAAUUAAAGACAAGAAGACCCUAAGAAUUUUUAAAAUUUAAAUUAACACAUUUUUGUUUUAAUUAAAUUUUAACUGGGGCGGUUAAAAAAUAUUAAAAACUUUUUAAUUUUGAAAAUGACCCAUUAUUAAUGAAAAUAUGAUAAAAUACUCUAGGGAUAACAGCGUUAUAUUUUUUGAUAGAUCAUAUUGACAAAAAAGUUUGCGACCUCGAUGUUGGAUUAGGAUACUUUUUUAAUGAAGAUAU
rnacentral:rRNA from 1 species